UCGAACGAAGCAUUUAAGACAGAUUACUUCGGUUUGAAGUCUUUUAUGACCGUUUGACGGGCGGGUGAGUAACGCGUGGGUAACCUGCCUCAUACUGGGGGAUAGCAGCUGGAAACGGCUGGUAAUACCGCAUAAGCGCACAGUACCACAUGGUACAGUGUGAAAAACUCCGGUGGUAUGAGAUGGACCCGCGUCUGAUUAGCUGGUUGGCGGGGUAACGGCCCACCAAGGCGACGAUCAGUAGCCGACCUGAGAGGGUGACCGGCCACAUUGGGACUGAGACACGGCCCAGACUCCUACGGGAGGCAGCAGUGGGGAAUAUUGCACAAUGGAGGAAACUCUGAUGCAGCGACGCCGCGUGAGUGAAGAAGUAGUUCGCUAUGUAAAGCUCUAUCAGCAGGGAAGAUAGUGACGGUACCUGACUAAGAAGCUCCGGCUAAAUACGUGCCAGCAGCCGCGGUAAUACGUAUGGAGCAAGCGUUAUCCGGAUUUACUGGGUGUAAAGGGAGUGUAGGUGGCCAGGCAAGUCAGAAGUGAAAGCCCGGGGCUCAACCCCGGGACUGCUUUUGAAACUGCAGGGCUAGAGUGCAGGAGGGGCAAGUGGAAUUCCUAGUGUAGCGGUGAAAUGCGUAGAUAUUAGGAGGAACACCAGUGGCGAAGGCGGCUUGCUGGACUGUAACUGACACUGAGGCUCGAAAGCGUGGGGAGCAAA
rnacentral:rRNA from 1 species